rnacentral:lncRNA from 1 species
AACGUUUUUAUAUAAGGUCAUAAAGUUGUGUGUUUCCUGGUCCUCCUCUAAUUGCAGUGUGUGAGUGAUUUAAUGAGGGGACCUCUCUUUAAUGAAGGACUGUAUGAAUUAGUGCUGCUCUCCAUUCUGUGCCUCUUUAGCCUGUAGAUUGAGAGCAAUCAUGAUUAUUAUCAUUGAAAGAGAUCAUUUCCAUUUCCAAACUGCUACAAACAUUUUUAUAUAAAAGACAACAAGUCUAUUUCGACCCUUAUUUCCAAUGAGCACCUUUUCAGACCAUUUCUAUAUUUUUGACAGAGGCAAAGCAACUCUCCCUAUUUUCUCUUUUACUCAGUAACUUCCUCAACUUUCAAAGAGCAGUUUAGGCUACAGCAUUGACUCUGGAUGCUGGCUCAGCUUUCAAAGAGCAGUUUAGGCUACAGCAUUUACUCUGGAUGCUGGCUCAGCUUUCAAAGAGCGGUUUAGGCUACAGCAUUUACUCUGGAUGCUGGCUCAGCUUUCAAAGAGCAGUUUAGGCUACAGCAUUUACUCUGGAUGCUGGCUCAGCUUUCAAAGAGCGGUUUAGGCUACAGCAUUUACUCUGGAUGCUGGCUCAGCUUUCAAAGAGCGGUUUAGGCUACAGCAUUUACUCUGGAUGCUGGCUCAGCUUUCAAAAAGCGGUUUAGGCUACAGCAUUGACUCUGGAUGCUGGCUCAGCUUUCAAAGAGCGGUUUAGGCUACAGCAUUUACUCUGGAUGCUGGCUCAGCUUUCAAAGAGCGGUUUAGGCUACAGCAUUUACUCUGGAUGCUGGCUCAGCUUUCAAAGAGCGGUUUAGGCUACAGCAUUUACUCUGGAUGCUGGCUCAGCUUUCAAAGAGCGGCUUAGGCUACAGCAUUUACUCUGGAUGCUGGCUCAGCUUUCAAAGAGCGGUUUAGGCUACAGCAUUUACUCUGGAUGCUGGCUCAGCUUUCAAAGAGCGGUUUAGGCUACAGCAUUGACUCUGGAUGCUGGCUCGGCCUCUCUGUUGAAAAGGUUACGUCCCAAUUUUAAGGAUGGCUAUUUGAAAUUAUUUUCCUAUUUGAAUAACAUCAGCAUGACAUUUUCUGGAUACCCGGACAGUCAACAUUUUUAUGACGCAAAUACACAUGGCAGAGGUAAACAGGACGGACUGCUUUUCACUGGUAGUUUUGACUAACAGUGAAAGCAAAGUCAGAUUUUCACCGUGACAGAACUGAUUCUGAUCUGUGUCAGGUCUUGUGGAAACUCUGUUAGGUAUGCGCAUGUAAUUGCUAUUUAAAGGUGGGAAGAUUAUAAGCUGACUGCAAGGCUAAAUGUACAGCGGUAGUUCAACACAAGGUUAAAAAAAAACUACAAUCAAAAGUUUGUUUUUAAAUUAAGCAUUUCAAAAGUCAUGGUAUAUCUUUGUAGGUAGCAAUGUCACUAGGAUAAUUAAAAUGUAAUUCAGACAAAGCUUUUUCAUUGUCAAAAUACUCAGUCAAGUAGUUGAAUACUAACGUCUGUUCGGAUAUUUGAUUCAUCGGUUAACCGUGUCUGUCCCUAGUCCCAAUGUCUCCUUUCAGGUAUAUGAAAACUCCCCGCCCAUGCCUACACCAAUCCAAUGAGUUUAAAAUGUGUUGGAAGUAGUGAACGAGACCACAGUUCAGGAGGAAGGAGAGAUAAUUGGGACGUAACCUUAGUUGAGAGCUCUAGUGUUAGUGUAUCAGCUGGUUAGGUAAAGGAAGCCAUAAACUCUCAAUAAUUCCCGAGACUGGAGACAAAGGCUCAUGUUCACUGCUGGGUGUCGAUAAAAGGUAGCAUUAGGCUGCCCUUGGAGGCAUUACCUCCCCACACACACACAAGCAGGUGCCGCACACA